rnacentral:lncRNA from 1 species
GCUGGGAUGAUGGUCCUGAGCCACUGCAUCUGGCCUAACUGCUUUUAACCACCUUUAUUUUUCAAGAAUUUUUGGCUUGACACAUCCAGAGCCCAAACAGAAGAGGUCUUCAGAUUUGACCCACGCAUUUCUUGCCAGAAGAAUUUAUAUAUGAAGGCGUUGUGCAAGUUAUUAAUGUUAAAAGGAAUUUCCUCCUCCAGUAAAAAAUCUGAAAUAAAAUUAAUAUUGGCACAAUCUGAGACUAAGAAGAGACACUGGCCAUCCAGGAGUUUCCAUAGGCCACGCUCCAAUGUGAGCUUUCACCACUAGAGGGCGUGAUCUGAAUUGUGCACUCAGCGUUUCUUCCAAGAGUAAUCGUUCCCAACAAGGAAAGACCGUUUUACAGCCCUCAGUACCGCAGUUCCAUGAACUUGCUCAGCUUGGCAGCCGCAGCUAAGGACACCCGUGGUAGUAAAAGCGGGAAGAUGGGCUCCCUGGCUCUUCUUACCAAACUCUGAUUGUUUGGAGCAGUUUGACCAUCAUUUAGCCAGGAAGACACCAGAAGGAUGGCGUGCUGGCCACCAUUGCAUUGCCAGCACAUGAGAGUAGGUGUGUGAAAUGUACACCCUGGGUACACAGAAUUGCCUGCAGACAAAUAUUUAUUGACAGUUAAGAAAAUGCAUUAAGAAUGAGCAUGAGUUCCUGUCCUUAAGGAACAGAUGCCUUCCUCGUUGUUUGGACUUGAGUCAGUCCCGGCAAAUGUUUAAGUGGCCUGGCCUGGAGAGCUAAGGUGAGCAAGCGCUCCUUGUCUGACAGCUUUGUUCCUGAGAUCAGCCAGAGCAAGGGAGGAUGGGACCCAGGGGGCUGAAGACAUUUAAGCAAAAGAAAACCAGAAGUUCUUCUCAUCCCUUUCUUCCUCCCUAACCCACGGUCCAUUCCCGCUGCCCUCAGCCCUGGUCCCAGAGGUAAAUAAAUAGACGUUUUAUAACCACCUCGGACAGAUUUUUGUUAUUAAGAAAGGAAAUUAAAAGUCUCUUAAGUGUAGAUAAUAUGGAGCUUGCUAGACAAAUUGACA